rnacentral:lncRNA from 1 species
UCAUAUGUUAUUAGAAAACAUAAGUUAUAAAACAAUUAAACGAUUUGUAUUUUGUGAGUGUCGUGUGCCAUUGUGCUUUUCAUUAGCAUAACAUAAAAUUAGAGGUGCAAAUUGCAAUGUCUAAAUCUUAUUUCACAUUUAAUUACCUUACAUUUAGAUCAUAAACAUCUCGUGUAAAAAGAUCAUGAAUGAUUAAAUGAUUUAUAAUCAAAUAAUAGCCUAUAAUGAUAUAUCAACAACUCAAAUUUACCAUUUUUAUAUAAUAUAACAAAAUCAAUUUUAAUAAGCUUUAUCAACUAAAUAAUUGUCAUCUAUAGAACCAUUUUCAUGCAAGCGAUUGUGAAAAUCCAACACAACAUGAAGACCUAUAAAAUUAAACACCAACAUGCACUCCAUUACAUUAUCCUAGAAAUUACAUUUAAUCAAUCUUUUUAAAAGUCUAGUUAUACAAUUUGAAGUAGAAUGAACAUAACCUUGCACCAUCUUGCAAACUCCAUUAUAAUUUAUACGACAUAGACCGUUGGGUUUAGACUUUAGAUGGUUAGUUGCAUAGCUUCUUUUUGGGAUCCCGCUGAACAUGAUUAUAACUUUUAUGAAAAGAAAAUGCAAAAUAUUAAAAUAAAUUAAAACACCAAAAUUUUAAAAUCAAGAGGUAUGAACUACAUUAGUUGUAUCCAUUCUUGUUUUGUAUUGUUGUGAAGUAGUCUUGUUACUCACGUGAAUCUAGAGGUAAUGAUUAGAGCAUCUUCAUAUAUAAUAUUUUUCAUUCCAACCAAAAUCAUAAUUAUACAAUAUAAAUUUGGAUAAUAAGAAACAAGAAAAUGAAAAAAUAUUUCUUACCAUAAACUAUCAUAUUUCCUUCUCAUCGUCAUCUUCCUCUUUUUGAUUACUUAUGCUCUCCAUUGACAAUCUUUAUGUAUGGAGUUUCUAAUCAACCUCUCAAACACUCACACAACUUUUUAAACCAUUCUAAUAAAAAUCUACCAUUAUGAAUUAUAUAUAUAUAUAUAUAUANNNNNGUUAAGUAUAAUAAAUUAAAAAAUUAUUGAGUGGUAGUUGUUAAUUAGAUGCUAGUAAAAGGUUAUGUAGGUUUAAAUAUAUAUUAAGGAAUCAUUAUUAUAAAGAAAUAUGAAAAGCCAUGGAAGCUUCAAAUGAUUGUGGUGAUAGAAAAAAUGUGUCAUUUAUAAGUAUAGUAUCAUAUUAAAUUUAAACCUUUUAAAUUUAUAUUUUAUGUAUUUCCAAUUCCAUUUUCUUAUUAAAUAACGUUCAACAUAAACAUUCAAAUUCGAAUUGAAGUUUAAUAAUAUACAAAUUUAAUUAAUUAAUUGUUCAAAUCUCAAUUUCAAUUAAAUAAUUUCAAAUUAAUUACUAAAUUCAAAUAUUUAGAUUUAAAAAGUUAAAAAAUAUUGUAAUCUAAGAGGCUUAUCACAAAAAUUCGAAAUUUUAGAAAAUUCUUGAAUUUUGUCCAGCUCGCUAGAUGCGUUGCGACCAACAAUUGGCACGUGCACCUAUGACUAGACGUGUUUUGUUUUUUUCAAUUUUUACCAAGUUUGUGCUAUUAACUAAAAUUGGUUAUGCUAUGAUACCACCGUUAGGGAUUAUUAACACCCAAUACACAUCAUAGGGUAGCAGAAACAGUCAACAGAUUUAUCUAAGUGCACAUGCAUCCUACAAUCCAGAUUUUACUUGUUACAACAACAUAUUUUAAAAAUGAACAAAAUAAAUAAUUACUAACCUCAUAAUUGCUUGUUUAUGAUCUUGUGUCUGUCAACUCGUUACAAUGAUGAUGAUCCAACGUAGCACUCAUCUAAUGGAAUCAGACCCACAACACCAAAAGUAAAAGGAAGAAACCCAAAACUAGGGUUUAUUCAAAAAUCAACUCUUGGGAGAGAGGUUGUAAAUUCCUUUUGGAAAGAGAGAGAGAAAGAGAGAGAGAGAGAGAGAAAGAGAGAGAGAAAGAGAUAUAGAGAGGUAGUGGACGAAUUUGGUGAGAGAAUAAUCAC